UUUCCGAUAGCCUAAGAAGGGCAAAACGUUGAAGCCGUUUAGGUGGGAUUAACUUCCCUCGGGGAG
rnacentral:tRNA from 1 species